AAGUCGUAACAAGGUUUCCGUAGGUAUAGGUUUGCCUAUGGGAGCCCCCGCAGCGACUUUAAAUAACUGCGCGGUCCGUAUUCACUGCGGGCAACACCGUUCAAGUGCUGGAAGAAGUUGGCGCGAGCCAGCUAGCAUCAGCAGCCGACGCACCCCGCGUUCGGUCCACAGAUCAAUCGACGGUGACCUAUUGGUUGAGCUAUGACCGGUUCACGCCCCUCGAGGGGCGUGGAACGGCGGAACCUGCGGAAGGAUCAUUAUCGAGAGACGGGGUCUAACAGGCCCCACUCUUCACCCGUGUAUACCUACCUCUGUUGCUUUGGCGGGCCAUCGGGCCUAACGGCCCGGCGUCGUCAGGAGGCUAUCGUCUCCAGCCCGGCGAGUGCCCGCCAGAGGCCCUUAAAAAUCUGUUUAUACGUGACGUCCGAGUAGUUACCUAAUAGUCAAAACUUUCAACAACGGAUCUCUUGGUUCUGGCAUCGAUGAAGAACGCAGCGAAAUGCGAUAAGUAAUGUGAAUUGCAGAAUUCAGUGAAUCAUCGAAUCUUUGAACGCACAUUGCGCCCUCUGGUAUUCCGGGGGGCAUGCCUGUUCGAGCGUCAUUGCAACCCUCAAGCAUUGCUUGGUACUGGGUCUCGCCCCUGGGGGCGUACCCGAAACACAGUGGCGGCUCAGCGAGACUUCGAGCGUAGUAAGAUUGUCAUAUCCCGCUUUGGAAGCCCCUCGGUGAGCCGGCCAGCCAACAUACGAAGUGAAAACUUCCCACGAUUGACCUCGGAUCAGGUAGGGAUACCCGCUGAACUUAAGCAUAUCAAUAAGCGGAGGAAAAGAAACCAACAGGGAUUGCCUCAGUAACGGCGAG
rnacentral:misc_RNA from 1 species